rnacentral:rRNA from 1 species
GAUGAACGCUGGCGGCGUGCCUAAUACAUGCAAGUCGAGCGAACGGACGAGAAGCUUGCUUCUCUGAUGUUAGCGGCGGACGGGUGAGUAACACGUGGAUAACCUACCUAUAAGACUGGGAUAACUUCGGGAAACCGGAGCUAAUACCGGAUAAUAUUUUGAACCGCAUGGUUCAAAAGUGAAAGACGGUCUUGCUGUCACUUAUAGAUGGAUCCGCGCUGCAUUAGCUAGUUGGUAAGGUAACGGCUUACCAAGGCAACGAUGCAUAGCCGACCUGAGAGGGAGAUCGGCCACACUGGAACUGAGACACGGUCCAGACUCCUACAGGAGGCAACAGUAGGGAAUCUUCCGCAAUGGGCGAGAGCCUGACAGAGCAACGCCGCGUGAGUGAUGAAGGUCUUCGGAUCGUAAAACUCUGUUAUUAGGGAAGAACAUAUGUGUAAGUAACUGUGCACAUCUUGACGGUACCUAAUCAGAAAGCCACGGCUAACUACGUG